GACGUAGGGCGCGAGCGUUGUCCGGAUUUAUUGGGCGUAAAGAGCUCGUAGGCGGCUUGUCGCGUCGUUCGUGAAAACUCGGGGCUCAACCCCCGAGCCUGCAGUCGAUACGGGCAGACUAGAGUGCUGUAGGGGGAGACUGGAAUUCCUGGUGUAGCGGUGAAAUGCGCAGAUAUCAGGAGGAACACCGGUGGCGAAGGCGGGUCUCUGGGCAGUACUGACGCUGAGGAGCGAAAAGCGUGGGGGAGCAAACAGG
rnacentral:rRNA from 1 species